GUUCCCGCCUCCGCGCCGGCAGGAGCAGCCAAUCAGGAGCGGCUCCUCGGGGUCCUCCAAGGCGUGAAGGAAGUACCGUCCCGGCGGUCGGUGCCGUUACCGCUCCGCGCGGCGCCGGGAGAGGCCCCCGAGGCGGCUGAAAUGGAGGCGGCGGCCUCGGUGCGGCUGUGGGUGAAAACGGAGCCGUUCCUGCUGGGCGUCCUGCCCGCCCCUCCGCCCGCCCGCCUCGGGCCCCACUACCUGCGGAAGAUGGCGGCCUACGCCCGAGCGCGGGCAGCCGAGGGCUGUUUCCCGCGGCUGUGGUGGCCCCGCUGGCGGCACAUCGCCUGCGGGAAGCUGCAGCUGGGCCGAGACCUGGCCUGGCUUUACUUCGAGCUCUUCCACAGCCUCCGCCGGCGGGACCCGCCGCGCCGCCUCGAGUGGGCAGAGGUGGAGGCGGCCUGUGCCAACGUCGAGGAGCUGGAGCGGGAGCGGAGCAAGCUGUCGGUAGAUACUCUGCAGUUCCUGCUCUUCCUGUACGUCCAGCAGCUGAACAAGGUCUCUCUGCGAAGGUCCCUGGUCGGGGAGGAGUGGCCCAGCCGUAGGAGCAGGUCUCUCAGCCUGACUGGGAAAUCCGCCGCCGAGAACAAGAACUGGAACGACCAGGAGCACUGUGCCUUUGUGCAGAGCCACCUCUCAUCUCUGCUGGAGCUCCUGCUGGAGCCAGAGCAGCUCCCAGACUCCUCCCAUCCCACCCGGUGUAGCUUGGUGUCCUAUGAAGCCAUCUGUGCCCUCAGUUUCCUCAUCGAGGGCACGGUCAGCAGGUCCCGAAGGGUCCGUCCUCUGCACCAGCUCGCCCUUUGGAGGCCCUGCCAGGAGCUGAAUGGAUACUCCAAGGUCUCCAAAGCCUUCUCCUUCCCCAAGCUGGAGAGCUGGCUGCGGUCCUGCUUGACCACAAACCCUUUUGGAAUGACUGCCUGCCUCAAAAUCGGGAAGAAACUCACUUGGGUUCAGCAAGUUGAAGGAACAACCAGGAGAGCAAAGAUUGCAUGCAGGACUCGUGUGGCUCCAGAGGUGCCCCCUGUGGUGAUGAUGAGCCAGGUGUACAAGCAGACACUAGCCAAGAGCUCAGACACCCUGGUGGGGGCUCAUGUAAGAAUCCAUCACUGCAACGAGUCCUUCAUUUACCUUCUCUCUCCUCUCCGGUGUGUGACCAUUGAGAAGUGCUGGAACAGCACCUUUGUCCUCGGACCUGUGCAGGCCACCGUUCACCUCCAGGACUGUGACAGUGUCAAGGUGGUUGUGGUGUGCCAUCGGAUGUCCCUUUCCUCCACCUCCGGCUGCACGCUUUACCUGCUCACACCUACCCAGCCUCUCCUCCUCUCGGGGAACCAAGCAGUCAGCUUUGCCCCUUUCCACACCCAUUAUCCCAAGCUGGAAGACCACAUGGCUCAGGUGGGCUUGGCCACUUUGCCCAACCACUGGGACAACCCCCUGCUGGUGGGCAAGGAGAGUGGCGACACCGGCGUCUUCCGCCUGCUGCCACCCGAUGACUUCUACGGCUUGGCUGUUCCUUUUGAGAUGGAAGGAGACACCACAGAGACCCCAGGGGGGCUUCCCCAGGCCUACCAGAAGGUGCUGAACCAGAGGGAGCAGAAGAUGCAGCUCUUGCAGAAAAUGGUGAAGGAGGCAGGACUCACCAGAGCGUUAGCAGCUGGCAGUCUUGGUCCUUGGUGGUGUUAUAGUGAGAAGAGUAACACAAUUCUAACUCUGGAGGAAGUGCUUUAUGAUUGCAUUUUCCUGGCUUGGGAGAGCCAAGGAGAAGCCUCCUGAGAUGUUGGUGAGGGCUGAGGUGAGGAGCCCACCCUGCCGGGAAGAGCUUAUAGCUUCUCUGGCGCUGGAUCCUGUCUCUCUGCUGUCUCUGUUCUGCUUCCAGUGUUGCCUGCUGCCGUGGGUGAGAUCUGGGUGCAUACCUUGAACACAGCUCGACUAAUUAUUGGCCUGCAAGCUGCUUGGUGGUCUUAGCCCAACCUUUACACUGAGACUGAAGCUUUAAAUUACUGUCCCGUCUGUUGUUGAGGGGUCAGAGGAAACGGUUCCAGAUGCUGGUAGAAAACAAAUUCUACGACUGGCUGGUUGAGACAGGGAACCGUCAGCAGCUGGACAGCCUGGUCCCCUGCAGCAAGAGGAAGGAGUUCCAGGAACAGGCAGCAAGAUACUGAAAGCAGCUCUCACUAAGACUUUGCCACCAUCCUGCCUAAACACACUUGAUGUGUGGACCUGAUGUGGGUAUAUGCACCUGACAUGGGAACUGGACUGUGUCACUACUUUUAGGAUUUCUGAUCCCUGCUGCUUUCCCAGGAAUGUCAUGUAACUGUUCUUUUGGUAGCUGGGAAAGUGCAGGUUGAUGAAGUAAGCCCCGUUGCACAUCGUUUAGUGGGGAGGCUGUUGUCAUGGUUACUGUCCAUCGUGUGCAAGUAGCCAGCAAAGGAGCCUGUCCUGCUGCAGAGCUGGAGGCAGGGCCCUGGCCAUCCUCUACAUCUUCAUGAUACGAGCCAGCUGCACUCUUCUUAUAAAUGUGAAAAAGGAAUGUUUCCUAUUUUUUUAUGAAGGAAGUUCAAUGGAUUAUAUUUUUUUUAAUUGGAAGAUGGCACGUAAGCAUCGUGAUUUUAUGGAUUUGACUUUCUGAUAUGUUUGCGUUGUUUUGACAGAUGUCAAUAAAACAGGA